rnacentral:rRNA from 1 species
UACGUAGGCAGCGAGCGUUGUUCGGAAUUAUUGGGCGUAAAGGGCGCGUAGGCGGUGCGGUAAGUCACCUGUGAAAUCUCCUGGCUCAACUGGGAGCUUGCAGGCGAAACUGCCGUGCUGGAGUGUGGGAGAGGUGCGUGGAAUUCCCGGUGUAGCGGUGAAAUGCGUAGAUAUCAAGUGGAACACCAGUGGCGAAGGCGAGUCCCUGGACAACUCCUGACACUGAGGCACGAAAGCUAGGGGAGCAAACAGG